rnacentral:rRNA from 1 species
UCAUCUUCGGGGGUAGAGCACUGUUUCGGCUAGGGGGUCAUCCCGACUUACCAACCCGAUGCAAACUACGAAUACCGAAGAAUGUUAUCACGGGAGACACACGGCGGGUGCUAACGUCCGUCGUGAAGAGGGAAACAACCCAGACCGCCAGCUAAGGUCCCAAAGUCAUGGUUAAGUGGGAAACGAUGUGGGAAGGCACAGACAGCCAGGAUGUUGGCUUAGAAGCAGCCAUCAUUUAAAGAAAGCGUAAUAGCUCACUGGUCGAGUCGGCCUGCGCGGAAGAUGUAACGGGGCUAAACCAUGCACCGAAGCUGCGGCAGCGACACUAUGUGUUGUUGGGUAGGGGAGCGUUCUGUAAGCCUGCGAAGGUGACCUGUGAGGGUUGCUGGAGGUAUCAGAAGUGCGAAUGCUGACAUAAGUAACGAUAAAGCGGGUGAAAAGCCCGCUCGCCGGAAGACCAAGGGUUCCUGUCCAACGUUAAUCGGGGCAGGGUGAGUCGACCCCUAAGGCGAGGCCGAAAGGCGUAGUCGAUGGGAAACAGGUU